rnacentral:rRNA from 1 species
AGUGAACGCUGGCGGUAGGCCUAACACAUGCAAGUCGAACGGCAGCACAGUAAGAGCUUGCUCUUACGGGUGGCGAGUGGCGGACGGGUGAGGAAUACAUCGGAAUCUACUUUUUCGUGGGGGAUAACGUAGGGAAACUUACGCUAAUACCGCAUACGACCUACGGGUGAAAGCAGGGGAUCUUCGGACCUUGCGCGAUUGAAUGAGCCGAUGUCGGAUUAGCUAGUUGGCGGGGUAAAGGCCCACCAAGGCGACGAUCCGUAGCUGGUCUGAGAGGAUGAGCAGGCACAAUGGGACUGAGACACGGUCCAGACUCCUACGGGAGGCAGCAGUGGGGAAUAGUGGACAAUGGGCGCAAGACUGAUCCAGCCAUACCGCGUGGGUGAAGAAGGCCUUCGGGUUGUAAAGCCCUUUUGUUGGGAAAGAAAAGCAGCAGGUUAAUACCCCGCUGUUCUGACGGUACCCAAAGAAUAAGCACCGGCUAACUUCG